rnacentral:rRNA from 1 species
UACGUAGGGGGCAAGCGUUGUCCGGAAUCAUUGGGCGUAAAGCGCGUGUAGGCGGCCCGGUAAGUCCGCUGUGAAAGUCGGGGGCUCAACCCUCGAAUGCCGGUGGAUACUGUCGGGCUAGAGUGCGGAAGGAGGCGAGUGGAAUUCCGUGGUGUAGCGGUGAAAUGACGCAGAUAUCAGGAGGAACACCGAUGGCGAAAGGCGGGUCUCUGGGCCGAUACUGACGCUGGAGGAGCGAAAGCCGGUGGGGAGCAAAC